rnacentral:tRNA from 1 species
GGGCUAUUAGCUCAGUUGGUUAGAGCGCACCCCUGAUAAGGGUGAGGUCCCAGGUUCAAAUCCUAGAUAGCCCAC